UGCAUUGCUUGCUGUUUGGGGUUUUAGGCUGGGUUUCUGUACAGCACUUUGUGACAUCAGCUGAUGUAAGAAGGGCUUUAUAAAUUAAUUUGAUUGAUUGAAACUCUUUUCUUUUGGGGGAACUAUCAUUUUCAAAUGUGUUCUAUUUUAGUCCAUGAUAUUGUUACAAAAUAGAUGUGUUGACUGAUUAGGGUAUGGGAAUAUAAGAGCAUCUGCUAGGCUAAAUUAAACUAGGCAUGCACAGCGCACCACAUGAUCCUCAAACCAAAGACUGGCCAAACUCGUGCUUCUAAAAGUGAAUUCAAAAAGGUGUUUUUCAGUUCAUUCUGAUCAGAAUGAGUUGUUCCCCACACAAGGGCUUUCUUACAGACAGAAAUACCCUCCCCCUCAUCAGAUUUGGAGGUCCUGGGCUACAUUUUUUUGUAGGUAUGGGAUCUUUUAUUUCAACUCAAGAAAAAUGGGACCAGUGUUUUAUUUUUGUUCAGUGUAGCAUAAAACAUUGCGUAUGUCAUUAUAGAUCGCUUUAUAUAAUCAGGUCCAUUUUAAUUUAUUUUGAAAUCUUAAAUUAUCAAGAUGUAGGCCUAUGCUUUUAGUCAUUUUCUUCAACUAAAGCAACAUCACCCUCACAUAACUCCUCAAUUCAAGACCUGUUUUGACCUUAACACAGCAAGCUCUUCACUUACACAGAUAUUUAAGGAGUGCAUGGUCACUGAAGUGAUUGGCUGACAAUCUAUGGAUGGUAGACUAUAAAUUCAUCUGUCAAACAGGUAGGCCUACCUGUUAUUUCUUGAAUAUGAAUAGGUUCUUAAACAAAGCACUCUUGUUAGUAUUCUAAAGUCAAAUUAAAAUGAAGACUUUAAAUGAAUUAGGUCUUCUUAUAUUUACCUACUACCCAUGCGCUGUCCAUCUCCGCAGCUGCAAAGUAAUGUAUGUAAAUUACUCAGGGCUUUUUGAGGUCAAUAACUCUGAUAAAUAGCUUCAUUAUGGGCAACUAAACCAAUGUUUAUAUUAAAAUGAAUUAUAAUGAGGUCAUCCUCUUCACGCUCUCCCUUUCAAACGGAAUAGGACAUCAGUAGGUCUAGUCCGCGUGAACAGAUAUGGCAUUUUUUAAAAUAUAUAUAUUGACUGGCCUCCUGAAGUGCCACCGUACACAGCACAGUCAUUGGUUAGGCAGCCGCAGCACAAAGGGGUUUACUUCAGCAAGAGCAUUGCAGGAUGGGCCUCUUGAUUGGGAACGCCUAUCCAUUGCAGUGUGUAAUGCAGUGUAGCCUAGUUUUAUAUUCACCAUCUCAGCAGCGCAAAAACUUGGGAUGGAAGUUCAUUAUUUUAGGAACAUAGCUUUGCCCUGUGCUCUUCGUGUAGCCUAGGCCUAUAGUAUAGACCAGCCUUUCCCAAACUAUUUUGUGCCAGGGAGACCCCAGAGGGUUUUUUAUAUUUGUAUUUUGUUGCAGCAAGAGAGAAGCUGGUCUCACAUAAGUAGGUAGAAUGAAAGGGGAUUCACUUCAACUCUGUCAUAUCGCGUUUGCUGCUGAACAGUCAGAAUGUGAACAGGCGCAUCUCAUUAAAACGAGAGCGCAGGCCUUGGUCACAGGACAGCUCCAAUAGUUUAUCAUCAAUAACUGAUGACAAGCUGUGAGUCUCUUCAGUGCUGGUGAACGGAUUACGUAUCCACUGCUUUCCCAGGCGUGGAUCAGAUUGCGAGGGGAAGUAAUCUUCGAAUUUGAGCAGAGUUUUGCUCAGAUGUGACCCCAACAAUUUAUGUAUGUGAUCCAUGUCUACAUAACCCACGUCAGUCAGAGUUUAGAAUAGAGGGGACAUAUCAAAAAAUGCCUCUAUCCACUCGGUCUCUCCAGACACCCAGUUUUUUCUUGAAAUCGGCAAUUCUAUCGUUUGCUUGGAAAAUGUCACUUUAGCGUCCCUGCAUGGCUAGGUUGAGCAGCAGUCUUGUCUAUAGGCCUGCAGUUCCCGAUACAACAGUCCCAUCGUAAUCCAUGUCCGUAUGUACUCGUUCAGGACACGCAGUUGUAUUCUGAGGCAACUCUUUGCCAGGUCAUUUUCAUAUGUGGCAAAUAUAUACAAAAAGCGGAAUUUGAAAUGUCAGUCUUCUUGUGAACUACAAUUCUGACGCUGUGUUUUAACGUUUAUAAACAUCCAAUAAUCAUCAGUGAUGAGUGACUAUGACUGCCAGUAAAACAGAUGAGGAUGGAACUGGGCCAGUGGAGCAGGCUCUGUCUCAGGACACAUCAGUGAUGACAGUGUCUCAGUGUGUUCUGGCUCUGUGGAUGCUGUUUCCUACCUGACCCUACACCAGAGGAGGAGCAGGGGCUGAUGAGCAUGCCCAAGACCAUGAUGGGAACAAUUUUAACCUGAGGAGGUGGUACAGGAUCAUGCAGUCUUCCCUGACCACAGACAGAGACAGCAGGACAACAUAGCCAGACUCUUUUCCCUCACCCUCCCUCUCCCCAUCUUCCCUCACCUUCUCCCACUAACCACACAUUUCCCUCACGCUCCUUCUCACCAUCAUCCCUCACACCACACUCUAUUCCCUCACCCUCCCUCUCCCUUUUCCCCCUCACCCUCUCCCACUAACCACGCUCUUCCCUCACCCUCCCUCUCCCCCUCUCCCACUAACACUCCCCCCCCAUCCUCACCUUCCCCAGGUGUUGCGGAGCAGCUACAGAUGAGUUUCCAGUAGCUGUUUGGUUCCCCUGCGGCCCCUACAUCCUCCGGGCCCAGCCUGCACCACCAAACCGUGGAGAGCAACCCUCCAGCCCUCCAACCUAAAAUACUGGCACCCAGCCCUGAGGGCCUGCAAGCCCAGGUUCUGUAAGAACCACUAUGCGGAGAUGGAGGCCACUCUCCUCAGGAUGUACGAAUGGCUACUGGACCGGUUCUCCUUCUUCCUGGGGGUGAAACCUGACUGUGUGUAUGAAGAAGUACUGAAGGUGGAGAGGCAUUUCCUCAGGAGCAGCAAGCCCUGGGCUAGAGCUUUAACUACGCCCACAAAGACACAGCCCAGAAAACAGCCCAACGGCAAACAAACCAGAAAAACAACUUUGUUCUCUAGGCAGCUAAAGAGAGUGACUUCAUCGGGACCAACUACUAUGGAUAGUUACUGUGCCAUAAUGCCAUGCUGACGGAUUACUUUCAUUUUUGUCUCGAUGUAACAUGAUUGUUUGCCUUUUUGUACAAAUUGCCUGUGGAUUACAAUGUGAUUACGAUGUGAUAUGAUGUUUAUGAACAUGCUGUACUUUCAGUUAUAUUAAACUAUAUUUUCUGUUAUUACAAUGAUA